rnacentral:rRNA from 1 species
GACGAACGCUGGCGGCGUGCCUAAUACAUGCAAGUUGAGCGCUGAAGGUUGGUACUUGUACCAACUGGAUGAGCAGCGAACGGGUGGGUAACGCGUGGGGAAUCUGCCUUUGAGCGGGGGACAACAUUUGGAAACGAAUGCUAAUACCGCAUAAAAACUUUAAACACAAGUUUUAAGUUUGAAAGAUGCAAUUGCAUCACUCAAAGAUGAUCCCGCGUUGUAUUAGCUAGUUGGUGAGGUAAAGGCUCACCAAGGCGAUGGUACAUAGCCGACCUGAGAGGGUGAUCGGCCACAUUGGGACUGAGACACGGCCCAAACUCCUACGGGAGGCAGCAGUAGGGAAUCUUCGGCAAUGGACGAAAGUCUGACCGAGCAACGCCGCGUGAGUGAAGAAGGGUUUCGGAUCGUAAAACUCUGUUGGUAGAGAAGAACGUUGGUGAGAGUGGAAAGCUCAUCAAGUGACGGUAACUACCCAGAAAGGGACGGCUAACUACGUG